UUUUUAAACACUCAACUGAAAUUGAUAUUUGCUUCAAAAAGAGCAACUUGCUAAGAAGACGAUAAGACCCUAUAAAACUUUACUCUAAAAAUUAAUUUUUACUUAGAAAAAUUUUAACCAAGAGUUAAGCUGGGGCGGCAUUAAAUAAUACCUCUAAAAAAAUAACACUAAUUUGUGAUAAUUUAGAUCUUUUUAAGAAAUAGAACAAGUUACUUUAGGGAUAACAGCACAAUUCUUUCAGAGAGAUCUUAUUGAAGAAAGAGACUUGUGACCUCGAUGUUGAAUUGAAGAGCCGGG
rnacentral:rRNA from 6 species